GUAUAUUUUUUUGGGAGAGUUGCCGGAGUGGUUAACGGAACAGUUUGCUAAACUGUCGGUAUGUAAAUACCGCGU
rnacentral:tRNA from 1 species